rnacentral:rRNA from 1 species
GCCCUAGAUGAUAUCUAAGGUGUAACCUGCCCAAUGGUUUUACAUUAAAAAGAUAUAAAAAAUCUUUAAUAAAACUAAAAGGACGCAGUAACCUUGACUGUGAUAAUGUAGCGUAAUCAUUCGCCAUUUAAUUGAUGGAUAGUAUGAAUGGUUGAACGAAUAUUCCACUGUCUUAAAAAGAAAUACUAAAGAAAUUUAAAUAAUAGUAAAGAUGCUAUUUAAAACUGUAAGACGAAAAGACCCUAUAGAGCUUAACUAUAUUCUCUUUCAUUAAAAGUAAAAACAAUUACAUGAUUAAAGAGGAUGGUAGUUUAGUUGGGGCGACUAUCUUUUAAAAAUAACGAAGAUAAGCAAAGUAAAUAUAUUACUACUUAUUGUAUGAAAAAGGUUUCUAACAAUUACGAUAGUAGGCUAUAAUGACCCGUUGAUUGUUUGUAAAAAUAUUAACGAUUAAUCAAUAAAAGCUACCUUAGGGAUAACAGGAUUAUUUCAUUUUCGAGAUCAUAUCUAAAAUGAAGUUUGUCACCUCUAUGUUGAAUUGAGAUAUCCUGGUAAUGUAGCAGUUAUCAAAGGUGGGUCUGUUCGACCCUUAAAAUCUU